CUGACGUCACCGCGCACGCUGCGCGCGCGACCACGUGCUGUCGCCGCCGCCCUGCGUGCGCGCUCUGUCCCGGCGCGGGAGCGAGCAAGCUGCGCAGAGGUAACUGCGGAGGUGAAGAGAGUGCAGGGAUCCGACGCGCAGGGUUUGAGGUAAUCUCGCUGCUGGAAGGGACCCAGAAGAUCUAAUGAGGGCGAUCCCUCAGACAGAGAGAGGGGUCCCCGCAGACUGAGAAAAGGGCCCCACAGACCUUGCAGACUAGAGAGGGGGCCCCACAGACCAAGGGAAGGAGCUGAGGGAGACCCACGGACUGGAGGCUGCGCCUGAAAGAAAAGAUCUGAAGGUUGAGACAAGCGUCCAAAAUUUUACGGAGGAUAUUGAUGAUAGACCCUCAGAGAGAGGGAGGACGACGCAGAGAUCCCGAGGACGGAUGGAAGGGACCGGGAAGAGACUCCUGUCUGAGGGAGGCCGCCUGAGUGAAAGCUGAGCGCCGGAGACGGUGGUGCCGGGAUGAAGGCGAGAGCUACGGUGUGGGCGCUGGGUUGAGGUGAAGUGAAGGAAAGGAGGUCUCAACCAACAACAAUGCUACAUUAAACCAGAGGUCCACAACACUACAGCCUAUGGACCAAACUAGCCACACCCACUCUUUAUCACCCCUCACCAGACACAGAUACAUGGCCUUGCAGGGGAUGAGCUUUAGGAACCCUUCAGAUCACGAAAUUCAAAGAUGCUAAGGCCCAUAUAUAAAAUGGUACAGGCAUCUGCACAAAACCUAUGCACUGCAUGUAUACCCUCCCUACACUUUAAAUACUACGUACAUAGUUGUUAUACUGAUCAGCAACUACUUCAGUCUAUGGGUGUGAAACUCAUGGGUAAGGACGAUUGAAUAUACUUAGAAACUGACAACAACAACAAUAAACCGUGCUGACUCUUAAGUUAAACAUUUAGCCUCAGGACCCAUUAGCUCACAAGGACACAACUUGCCCUGAAACCUAGGUUCCCCAUACCCCUGGGCUCUUAAUGGCCCUGAGCCUCAGCUUACAGAUGUCCAUAGCUGUCCAGCUACUAGGGAAUGUAUGUGGUGGUUAACAGAACAUUCUGAGGGCUGGGGAUGUGGCUCAAGCGGUAGCGCACUCGCCUGGCAUGCGUGCGGCCCGGGUUCGAUCCUCAGCACCACAUACAAAGAUGUUGUGUCCCCCAAAAACUAAAAAAAUAAAUAUUAAAAAAAAAAAAAUUCUAAAAAAAAAAAAAAGAACAUUCUGAAAUCAGGACAAUUUCAGCUAUUGUAUUUGAUAAAUUCUAAGCAACUUAUUUUCUCACUUUUCUGUGUGUAGUGGGGGUGGCGGGGUGGGGAACCAAGAUACAAGUCUCAAUAUGUUACACGGAUUACGUUUUUUUUUUAACAUUUACUUUUUAGUUGUAGUUGGACACAAUACCUUUAUUUUAUUCAUUUAUUUUUAUAUGGUGCUGAGGAUCGAACCCAGAGCCCCACAUAUGCUAGGUGAGCACUCUACCGCUGAGCCACAACCCCAGCCCAGAGUUACUUUUUAACAGAAAUUGGGGUGAAUCUUACAGCCAAUGAAAUGACAGACAACAGAAAUACAACAAGAGACCCUAUCAGUGUGAACACUUUCGGUAUGAGACAGAAGGUCUGAGCCCCACUCUCAAGGCACCUAUGCCCACAUCAGAAGACUCACCCUGCGGUUGUGGUUGUGGUCCACUGAAUGCAGAUGCCGUUGGAGGAGCUGGUGCUGCGCGGGAAUCAGCAUGUCACAGGCCAGGCAAUGCGCAGCCUCGAUCUUCUUGAAGAAGUGUUCCUGGCCAAUCCCUGUGAUGCAACCCAAGCAAGUGAUGCUUUCUCACUGUUCCCCAACAAAUCCCACAUUUUCUCCUUUCAAUGCUCUCUAAUGAUUCAGUUAGGACAAAAUGAGAAAGGCAUUGCCUGCUCUCCCACAGCAAUGUGGGGUCACAGCAACUGGCUCUACACUCAAGAAUUCUACAUGUCAACUUUGCUGAUCAUUCUAGUCUUCUCUCUUCAUAACAAAGAGGGGGGGACCCCCACCAUGUUGUUUAACAUCACUCUGAUAAGCUGCCUGUGGAACUGUGAUCUCCAUUAGCCAGAUUUGGGAUUUUUUUUCCAUUGUAAGUGUUCUUCCCCUGGGGCCUGACUUCACAUUCUCAGCAGCUCUCUGCUAAGGAUAGAACCCUGGGCUUCUAGCAUGCUAAGCACUCUACACACCUAGCCCCAUUUGUACUAUUAUAAGGGUCACUUCCAUGCCUUACUAUCAUUUAAAAUAACCUGCUCUCUGGCAUCAUAACUCACCUUUGAAAGGAUCUGGUUUUGGUUUUGUGCUUUCCUUGUCUAUCAGUUCCUGACGCCUCUUCUCAAUCUUCUUAUUCCUGUUUACAAUGUAUUCCUAGAGGGGUGGGAUAUGGCACCAAAUGAAAUGAGAGGACGAUAUUUCUCACCUGCACAGAGGGUGGGAAGAUCCUAUCUGAGAUUCUGUACAGAAACUAUGGUAGCUGGAGCUCUCAACUGCACCUCUGACUCAGUGAUUUGUACAACUACUUUAAUCUGGGAAAAGAAAUUGAUCAUAUUUAGGCUUCUCAUUUCCCUACCGCUUCCCUUCUCUGCAAGGGAUCUGACACCUGUGGAAUAGUUGGGAAAUGCUGCAGUGGAGGCCAAGUGUCCUUUACCUGGAGGAACUCUACUGUCUUGUCAGGCAGCUUGGUACUUAUAAAUCGCAGUGUCUCUUUGUGGAACUUGCUUUGCAAAUGCUUCUGGAUUUCUUCAUCUUCAAAGCUGCGAAACUUGCAUACUGAACAGGCAAACUGAAUCCUGAAGAAGGAACAUGAAAAGAACAGUGGUGAGGGAGGCGGAGCAGUAGUUACCCAAACUUACCCCCACCAUCUGAAGAACAGGAUACAGCCGUGCAGCUACUUCAGGAAAAUGAUUCACACAAUAACUCUUUAACAUAUCAGUCUCUCUUUAGCCCAAAUUCUCUAAGAGAACACCCUGAAAUGGUGACUUUUUAGAAUUGUGGACUUCCCAAUCUCUACUUGACUGCUCUGGGAACUUCGUAUUUAACUCCACAGCUUCUCAGAUGGGUUUGUCUUUAGCCACCAAGAUGACAUGUGACAAUCUUAUUUUAUGUGAGAGAAAAAUUCUAGUUGCUGUGGCACUGCACACCUGUAAUCCUAGUGACUCGGGAGGCUAAGACAAGAGGAUCCAAGUUCCAAGCCAGGUUGGUGGUAGAGCACCCCUACGUUCAAUCAGUAGUACUGAGGGGAAAAAAAAUUUCUGAAGACUUUACAUAAUUCAAAGUUCACAUAACACAAAAUAAUUUCUUCCUUGAGACUUAACAUUCUGGAUUUUAUAAAUAAAAGCUUAAGCUCCUGU